AUGAUUGUCCUCAAUCUACAUCUACUUUUUAACUAUCAUCUGAAAUCCUGAAUUGGAAGUUGGGUAUCCCACAAGAAAAAAUCCAAUCUUUUGCAGGGUAAAGCACAAAUGCAGUUCCAUACUACCACAGACACUGCAGUGAAUUUUCUCAUAUUUGAGGAAAUCACAGGGACAACCCAUCCAGCAUGUAAGAGGUAAGUCUUACCUUUGGGAAAGGAAGUGUCUAAAUCAUAUCCCCUCAGAUGAAAAGGGCUCUUGAUGCUAACUGAGUGUAGUUGUUUUUUGUCUUGUGACAUGGGUGGAAAUUCAAAAUGAGUAGAAGUAAAAAUGUCAAAGUAAAGCAUUGUGCUUUUACUAAACUGAAUUUCUUUUUCUUCAACUUACAAAAGAGUAAGAUUUCUAUUUGCAUUAUUGUCAAUGUUACAUCAAAUAUAAAGAUAUGAAUGUUUCAAAGGUAACAAAUCAAUUUUCUCCUUUUCCCAGAGUUUUCAUAAAAUGGGAAGUUUGGCCUUUUUGUUCUGACUUAGAACAACAAAAAUAUUGUGUUUGCAAUUUGCAAAUAUUGUGAUUCUGAGAAAUUCCAUUUUUUUAGCAGCUUAUUUCUCUCAUAGACUGACUAUGAAACACCAGUCUGUUUGUUUGGAAAAGGAAGGUUCCUGUCACUUGAAAACAUUCAUCUUGGAGAUAUCUUUAUUCACACAACUGCUAAACCUUAGUGAUCUCGUUGAGAUCUCUCCCUCAGCAGGAAGCGAGAGUGGCAGUGAGCUCAGUGACACUUUCUGGCCCAUGGAAGCUGGAUGUAUCCCACACCCAAACUAUCGAUCUAAAACAACAAACCACCUUAAUCACGCAAUACUUCUUGGCAUGUACAAAACACAAAGGAGGAGUUACAUUCCCAAACAAAGAGGAAUGCCUGUUCUCAUUAAGGGUUUCCCUCAACGCAGGGAAAACAAGGGGCAGGGUUCUCUCUCCAGGACAGACUGUGUUCAACACUCUUCUGCAUGGUUGCAAGUAAACAGGAGAUCUUGAAGGACAAGGUCUUAAAGCUUGUUUGUUUUAUAAGCAGAAGCUACCACCAUUCAGGAAAGCCAUGUUCAGUCUCUGAGCAAGUCCCCAAGUGUCUGUUCCAGUGUCCAAGAGGGGACAUAGAAGACAAGAUAGCUCCUGAUUUCAGUCAUCUGACUUCUACUGUGAGAAAACACUUCUGCUAUUAUCUUGCCUUAAUAAUUUGGCUGUUCUUUCUUAACACUCGUUUGUUUUGCUGACAGAGUCGGGCCCAUGGAAACUACUUUACCUAGGUUUAAAAGUUCAUCCUGUUCUACCUUUUAAUAGAACAACAAAACUUCCCUGUAAACCCAGCUCCCAGAAUUGACUACAACCCUAGUAAAGCUGGCUCUGACCAAAUGUUGGCACCAUUUUCAUAAACCACAAGUUUUGACAAGCUUUUUCCUUCUUCUCUGCUAGCAUUUAAUAUAUCUUUCUCUCCAGGUAUACCAGUCAGGAAUAAAUCUGCCACAGGCAUGAGUCUCUAAAGAAACAAGAAUUGCCUUUGACAGGAUGUCAAACCUUUAGGGUAGGUUUAUUGUGUCCUGUGCAGCUCACAUGCUGAAAAAGAGUUUCAUCUUUCACUUUUUCAUAAUAUGCCUUUAACUAUACUUUUUCCCUUAAUAUGGACAGCUUUGUCUACACAUGCUUAAACCUUUCAGUCACUUAACCACAUAGGCCACAGAAUAGAAUUCCUUCCAAGAAUUGAAAGAAAAGUAACUAAGAACCUGAACAGCUAUUUCAUCCUGAAAACACUAACAUAGAUCUAAUGAAAUUUAAAAUAUUUUUCAUAGCAGGAGAAAAUAACUAAAUCUGCCUUCAAAAAUUUAAGGCUCAUGCUAAGAUGUAACAUUAGCUUUCCAAGCAAAACAUACAUGAAGUAUUUCUAAUCAUGCUCAGACUAGAACAAGCCCAACUUAAUCUUGGAUUUAAGUUCAUUAAACAAAAUCACUUCAUGCAGCUCAAAAAGCCUUGUUCACAGCAUGGCUCCAUAUCAUCAGAGGGAAAAGAUGUAUGUUGAGAAAUCUUCAUAGUGGAAAAAAAUCUUUCCAGUUACACCAGAAGCCACAGAGGGAGUUUUGUCAGGAUGUUACUCCUGAUCUUCAGGAGAAAUUUCCUGAAUAUUAUUUUGAAGACUGCCUUAAAAUCAAUCUGGAUCUAUUUCUUCUUGUUUUGCUAAAAACGGCACAGAGAUGACCUAGAAUCUUUAUUACAACUGGUGUUGGUCUUUGUUGAAAAAGCUCAGUAUUUCUGAGAGGCUUUCUUUGUUAAGAAAAUUAAAAAUCUUAAGUCAACUUCUUCCCGACCUAGUGAUGCUGACAGCUGUGCCAGCUCCACCACAGCACAGACAGCGAAGGCUUCAGCCACAGGAAGGUGCAUGGAAACGACCAACAGAGACCACACCAACACGGAAUUUAUUACUUCCACAUUUUUUUCUUUGUUCCCAAAGCAAAUCCACUUGGUUAACCUUUGCUAUCACAUCUGUAAAAUGGUGUUAAAAGAGACCGUCACAGGGAAAGCUGUUAUGAAGCUUACUGGCAAAUAUAGGUCUCAAACCCCAUUUAUUUCCUUAAGAGCAAACUCAGAACUGUCGUAAUUCUCAAACUUGGGCACUAUCUUACAGUUGCAGCAACUCAAGCAGCAGGAGUUCCCUUACACCUCCUAUCCCUCCCCCAGCCUUUUGCUUCCUCCCCAGUGCACAUCCAGUUGUGCUGUGAGCCAGAUCAGGGAACUAACCCAGGCUUCAAAGCAAAGCACAGCCCCUUCCCUCUCCCCUGCCUGCCUUUUCAAGUGAAUUCAAUUCCCUGACCUGAUUGCCAGUCCCAUAAACAGCUGCACCUUCCUAACUCCUUAUGUCAGUACUGCUGCUGCACUCCCCACACGGUGUUAUCUAUAAAGUGUUUGGUUUGUGGGUUUGUUUGGUUUUUUAAAGAAAUCUUAUUAUGUAUGACCUACUACCUCUGGGAAACUGGAGUAGGCUAAUGACAGGAAGGGUGGGUAUCCCUGUCUCUCUGUAAGGAAAGAGAGAAAUGCCUAGCAGUUACCAAGUCUCUGAAUCUUUCUUCAAAGCCCUGAAGAGGUGAGCAUUUGAAACACAAAGAGAAACCCCUCACUCAUCAACUACAGAACACUAUUUUCCCUACAAUAUCCUAAAAGCCCUUAGGUAUUUCAAGUAUGUUCAGAGAAGAAAGGAAAAAAAGAAACAAAAAAAA